rnacentral:rRNA from 1 species
UACGUAGGGGGCUAGCGUUGUCCGGAAUCAUUGGGCGUAAAGCGUGUGUAGGCGGCCAAGCAAGUCGGAUGUGAAAGCCCAGGGCUCAACCCUGGAAGUGCACUCGAUACUGCCUGGCUCGAGUAUCGGAGAGGUUGGUGGAAUUCUCGGUGUAGAGGUGAAAUUCGUAGAUAUCGAGAGGAACACCGGUGGCGAAGGCGGCCAACUGGACGAAUACUGACGCUGAGACACGAAAGCGUGGGGAGCAAACAGG